GCCUCGGGCCACGAGGUUCAGACCAGGUGGAGCUACUACAAAAGAGACUAUUAAUUAUGACUUCACCCCUCCUUCUUUUCCUCUCUUUCUCUCUUGCCAAACAAAUAUGAUAGAUGGGGUUAUCAGUGUCUCGCAGAAGCAUGAACGGCUGUCAGGUGACGCUGCCUACAUAAAACACACUGACUGUUGGGCCGUUGAAUGGGGGAGGACAGUUUCCACGUGCUCUUCGCUUCAUGGUGGUUGUCAAGGUCCCUGUAGUGCUUGUCUGCAACUUUUCAAAGGGCAAUCCAAACCUUGAGUGUCCGCAGUGCUCUGCCAUAGAGGUCAGCGCUUGUUUCCCUGGAAUCACACAUAAAGGCUUUCUUUAUUUACACCAGUAAAGAGCUCUAACAGCCAAACGUUUGACCUCAGUUGAACAGCUCCGGGUAAACAAGUCAUCGCAAAUGUCCCCUCCCUCAGUUCCAAACAGCUUGCAUCCCAUCAGCGCGCAUGUUUUGCCAGGACAGAUGACAGGAAAACAGUCUCAGCUCAUGUUCAUAAUAAGGUAGGUGUAAGAGGACUUUGCCGUUGACUUUUCCUUGUGGUCCUUCUUAUACUUCAUGCGACGGUUUUGGAACCAGAUUUUAAUCUGCCGGUCGGUGAGCUUCAGCAGCUCAGCCAUUUCAAGUCUCCGGUUGCGGCACAGCCUCACUUGUGGAUUUCCAGAGGCCCAUGACUGAAGGUCGCAGCUCUAGUUUUUGAUCAGCGGAGGACCAGCGGAAAUUAUUAACAUGCUACUUCAUAAUAACAUAUCACAUAACAUUACAUAAAAAUCUGUUUUUCUGUAUUGUUUAAAUGUCGUAACAUAUGACAAUAAAUGGAAUUUUAAAAA
rnacentral:lncRNA from 1 species